AAAAGAACUCUGAAUAGAGAGUUAAAUAGUACGUGAAACUGCUUAGAGGUUAAGCCCGAUGAACCUGAAUAUCCAUUAUAAGGAAUUCAUCAUCAAUAUGAUUAUAUAUAACAAAUAUAAUUUUAUUGGUGUGCAUUUUCUUUAUAUAAGGACAUUGUAAUCUAUUAAUAUAACAAAUUUAUUAUAAGAUCAUUUGCAAGAGUUUAUUUUAAUUAUUUUACUUAUGUAAAUUAUAUUUAAUAAAUGUGAAUGAUUUAAUAAAGUGUUGAUAGAUUGAAUCAUAUGUAUGAUGCAAAAAUUUCAUAAUGAAAUUUUAUAAUAUUUUAUUAUAAGCAUUUAUACGAUUAACAAUGCGAAAGAUUCAGGAUACCUUCGGGAC
rnacentral:rRNA from 1 species